UACAGAGGUCUCAAGCGUUGUUCGGAUUCAUUGGGCGUAAAGGGUGCGUAGGUGGCGCUGUAAGUCGGGUGUGAAAUUUCGGAGCUUAACUCCGAAACUGCAUUCGAUACUGCGGUGCUUGAGGACUGGAGAGGAGACUGGAAUUCAUGGUGUAGCAGUGAAGUGCGUAGAGAUCAUGAGGAAGACCAGUGGCGAAGGCGGGUCUCUGGACAGUUCCUGACACUGAGGCACGAAGGCCAGGGGAGCAAACGGG
rnacentral:rRNA from 1 species